AGGACACGCUGGCGGCGUGCUUAAAACAUGCAAGUCGAACGGACUUCUCAUGAAGCUUGCGAUUGAGAAGUUAGUGGCGGACGGGUGAGUAACGCGUGGGCAACCUGCCCCUGAGCCCGGGAUAACAGUUCGAAAGGACUGCUAAGACCGGAUAUACUUGCGGUGAAGCAUUUCACUGCAAGGAAAGGGAACGCUCAGGGAUGGGCCCGCGUCCCAUUAGCUAGUUGGUGAGGUAACGGCCCACCAAGGCGACGAUGGGUAGCCGGCCUGAGAGGGUGAACGGCCACACUGGGACUGAGACACGGCCCAGACUCCUACGGGAGGCAGCAGUUGGGAAUCUUCGGCAAUGGGCGCAAGCCUGACCGAGCAACGCCGCGUGAGUGAUGAAGGUUUUCGGAUUGUAAAGCUCUGUCUUCCGGGACGAUAAUGACGGUACCGGAGGAGGAAGCCACGGCUAACUACGUG
rnacentral:rRNA from 1 species